AUACUAUAAUCAACUGAGGAGAAUCAAUCCUGAUUAAGUUUAAAGAAUAUGACUUUCAAGUAUAUAUUUAUAUAUAAAUAUCUAUAGCUGCUCCCCAUUUAUACUGAUUACAUGCCACUGGGUGCCCAAACACCACCAUAAAUUCAAUUGCAAAACUAACCACUAAAAGAAAAAUAAGAUGAAUUGUAGUGUCUGUAAUCCGCUCAUGUUCCAAGCUUGCCUAGUUCUGAACUUGUUGUCGAGACAUCUUCAGGUACCGUAUCUUUCUUCUCUUUGCUAGUUGAUGCUCCCUCUUGCCCAGUGGUUGGCAUUUUCCUUGCUGGUGGAGCUGAACAGACAGGUACAACUGAUCUUAUUCGAACUGCUGGUGCCAUGGAACGGGGAUGCACUCUGCCAAAGUCCAUUCUUUGAGGCUGUGGUCUGGCUGAAUACGAAGGACCUCCGGUUCUCAUUCUUGGUUGAGCUGGAACUUGUGCUGCCAAAUCUUGUGGUUUGGGAACUGAACAAACCGGUCCCAUAUUUCUGAUUCUUACAGGAGGUGCUGCAGAUGGUCUAGGCUCCAUAUUUCUGAUUGUUACAGGAGGUGCUACAGAUGGAGGUGGUCUACAACUUAGUCUUAGAGGAUACUGUGAAGUUGAAUUGGUGGAGUCAAAACCACAUAGGUUCUGCACUCUGAAGCCUACAUGUGUGUAUCCUGAAUCCAUGCUUCUGUGGGAAGCCUGUUCAAAUUGCUCAGAAUGGUUCUCUCCUAGUUGAGCAUUUUCAACUUUGCUUUCCAUUGCACCAUUUUUCAGUUUGUCAUGCUCAUGAUUUGUUUCCUUAAAUCUUGCUUCAGUCUUGAAUUUGCUGAGAACAGGGGGAUCUGGAGCCAGUGAUGGAGAGCACUCAGAUAAUUCUUCAGUCUUCUCGUCAUGCAUCUCCUGAAUGGUAACUGUAGAUUUUCCCCUGAUUGGAUCAGAGGCCACACUAUCUGAGCAGCAUAAUAAUGGUCCUGAUGUGGCAAUUGUAAUUCUCGGCCCUACAGGUACCCGUUCUUGCUCUCUCACAGGAACAAAUAGAGGAGAAUCUGGGGGGAGUAUAGACUGCAUAUAUGGAAGAAUUUGAGGACCAGGAGGAGGAGCUGGUGGAACUUGAAGCGUCAAUAAACGGUUUUGCAAUUGCAACAAUUGUUCUUGCUGCCACAUUUGGUAUAUGGCCAUUUCAUGGGAAAAGCCAGGAUAUACCCAGUUUUGGCACUGCAUAGGAUAUAAGCUUGGUGUUGGAGGGGUCAAGUGCUUGCAUACAGGGAUAAAUCUCUCCUGUCCUGGAUGGCAAUCACUUUGCUUCGAGUUCUUUAAUUCUGAU
rnacentral:misc_RNA from 1 species